rnacentral:rRNA from 1 species
UACGUAGGGGGCAAGCGUUGCCCGGAAUCAUUGGGCGUAAAGAGCGUGUAGGCGGCCCGGUAAGUCCGCUGUGAAAGUCUAGGGCUCAACCCUGGGAUGCCGGUGGAUACUGUCGGGCUCGAGUCCGGAAGAGGAGUGUGGAAUUCCUGGUGUAGCGGUGAAAUGCGCAGAUAUCAGGAGGAACACCAAUGGCGAAGGCAGCACUCUGGGACGUGACUGACGCUGAGACGCGAAAGCGUGGGGAGCAAACAGG